rnacentral:rRNA from 1 species
AACGAACGCUGGCGGCAUGCCUAACACAUGCAAGUCGAACGAGACCUUCGGGUCUAGUGGCGCACGGGUGCGUAACGCGUGGGAACCUGCCUUUAGGUUCGGAAUAACACUGAGAAAUGUCUGCUAAUACCGGAUGAUGUCUUAGGUCCAAAGAUUUAUCGCCUUUGGAUGAGCCCGCGUUGGAUUAGCUAGUUGGUGAGGUAAAGGCCUACCAAGGCGACGAUCCAUAGCUGGUCUGAGAGGAUGAUCAGCCACACUGGGACUGAGACACGGCCCAGACUCCUACGGGAGGCAGCAGUGGGGAAUAUUGGACAAUGGGCGAAAGCCUGAUCCAGCAAUGCCGCGUGAGUGAUGAAGGCCUUAGGGUUGUAAAGCUCUUUUACCCGAGAUGAUAAUGACAGUACCGGGAGAAUAAGCUCCGGCUAACUCCGUG